AACUCCUCCAGCAAUGAAGGGUGGUAAGCGAUGGAAAGAGCUCCAGGGCUGCCUCUGUGCCCUCGGGUGGUUCCUCCUGCAUUUUGUCUGCCUGGGAGGAUAGCCAGGUUCCAGUCUGCUCACACAGAAGAUAAAGGAGGAAGAUACGGGAGGCCCUUUCCCCUGCAGACGAAGGCGCUCCUGGUCCUCCUCCUCCUCUGCCGGCUGCCAUUCAUACCGGCGGCCUUCCCUUGCUGUAGCGCACGCUUCCUGCCUGUUUGCAGCUACAAGGAGCUGGGUGAUUGCGGCUUGAACUCCUCGGGCUCAUUCGUUAUCCCCGCGUCUCAUGCUUGGAAGGAGGGAGAUGAAAAGUUGAAUCCUCUGAGAAGGGA